CUCUGUACCGGUACCCCCUGUAUAGCCUCCACAUUGACUCUGUACCGGUACCCCCUGUAUAUAGCCUCCACAUUGACUCUGUACCGGUACCCCCCUGUAUAUAGCCUCCACAUUGACUCUGUACCGGUACCCCCUGUAUAUAGCCUCCACAUUGACUCUGUACCGGUACCCCCUGUAUAUAGCCUCCACAUUGACUCUGUACCGGUACCCCCUGUAUAUAGCCUCCACAUUGACUCUGUACCGGUACCCCCUGUAUAUAGCCUCCACAUUGACUCUGUACCGGUAUCCCCUGUAUAUAGCCUCCACAUUGACUCUGUACCGGUACCCCCUGUAUAUAGCCUCCACAUUGACUCUGUACCGGUACCCCCUGUAUAUAGCCUCCACAUUGACUCUGUACCGGUACCCCCUGUAUAUAGCCUCCACAUUGACUCUGUACCGGUACCCCCUGUAUAUAGCCUCCACAUUGACUCGUACCUGUCUCCGGUACCCCCUGUAUAUAGCCUCCACAUUGACUCUGUACCGGUACCCCCUGUAUAUAGCCUCCACAUUGACUCUGUACCGGUACCCCCUGUAUAUAGCCUCCACAUUGACUCUGUACCGGUACCCCCUGUAUAUAGCCUCCACAUUGACUCUGUACCGGUACCCCCUGUAUAUAGCCUCCACAUUGACUCUGUACCGGUACCCCCUGUAUAUAGCCUCCACAUUGACUCUGUACCGGUACCCCCUGUAUAUAGCCUCCACAUUGACUCUGUACCGGUACCCCCUGUAUAUAGCCUCCACAUUGACUCUGUACCGGUACCCCCUGUAUAUAGCCUCCACAUUGACUCUGUACCGGUACCCCCUGUAUAUAGCCUCCACAUUGACUCUGUACCGGUACCCCCUGUAUAUAGCCUCCACAUUGACUCUGUACCGGUACCCCCUGUAUAUAGCCUCCACAUUGACUCUGUGCCGGUACCCCCUGUAUAUAGCCUCCACAUUGACUCUGUAUCGGUACCCCCUGUAUAUAGCCUCCACAUUGACUCUGUACCGGUACCCCCUGUAUAUAGCCUCCACAUUGACUCUGUGCCGGUACCCCCUGUAUAUAGCCUCCACAUUGACUCUGUGCCGGUACCCCCUGUAUAUAGCCUCCACAUUGACUCUGUGCCGGUACCCCCUGUAUAUAGCCUCCACAUUGACUCUGUGCCGGUACCCCCUGUAUAUAGCCUCCACAUUGACUCUGUGCCGGUACCCCCUGUAUAUAGCGUGUCAGUAAGCAUUUCACUGUAA
rnacentral:lncRNA from 1 species